UGGGGAGCGGUGCUCUCUGGAACAAUAUCUGUGAGGGGUCAUGGAAGCAGGACUGAGUGAAAGGAGAAGCUGAGCUGUCCUCAGCUGGCCCUUCAGGGACCUCUGGAGCUGCCACAUCACAGAGUGAGUGACGGGCCCAGGCCUUUGGCUCCUGUGUUGACCAGCCCCUGCAUGCAGGCUGUCCCCAGCAUGGAGGCAUGACCUUGGGCCAGGCAGCUCCCUUCAGCCAAGGGCAAUUGCUGGAGGGCACUCGGCUGUGAUCCGUCAAUAGCCAGCAUCCCGGCAGCAGGAGAAAGAGUGCCUCAGCUCUGAAGGGAAAGUGGCUUGGUAUCCAAGAGGAUUUACUACACAGCCAUCGAUUCGGUCAGUGGGACGGACACUGGUGACGAGAAUAAGCAGGCAGCUGAGACUGUGCGCAGACCGUGGCCGGGAAGUCCCGAUCACAGCUCUGAAGCAGGCUGACUACCAGCAACAGCCACCAGACAAUGAGCCACAGCAACAUUGCGGUCUCGCAGUUAGAGCAAAGGAUUUGUUGAACGAAAAUCUUUGAAGGACUCGAAGGUCAGAAUGACAGAGAAUCGGGACGCAGGGGGCAGUCUGGCUGGGUUGACUCUGGCAAAAUUCAUCUUUUGUGUCUGAGCUGGUUCACCCCUUUUGGAGCCUCUCAGUCAAAUACAGGGUGAGAAGUACAACGAGUCCUGCUUGUGAGGAGGAUGGGGAUGGGCAGCUUCCACGUCGCAGCCACGACUUCAGAGUUGGCACACUUGAGGGAACACGCUAAAUGCAGUUCAGCAGUGAGCUUGGCCCUGGCUUGGAAUAGCAAGCAAACCUUUUGGGUUGGUGCCUUUGAGACCUGCACACACCUGGGAGCAACUGCAGUGAUGGGAACAGAUGAAAGUUGAAUGCCCAGCGACAGGGAAGGAGGUCACUCAGUCUUGCUGGAGACGACAUGGAAUGAAAAUGUUAUUUUCCGUUUUCUUCCUGAGGGUUCUCCAUGGUGAGCAUUUCGUCCUGUCUUCCCGCCUUCAGCCAGCAUGCACGGCCCAUGUCAACGUGCUGAUAGCUUCCAGGGCCAACUCCAGGAAGAAGUGUGAAGAGUUUCCCAUGCCACCUUUUCCUUUUCUGAUGAAGCCAUCUCAUCCGCUCCUGCUCUUCUCAUGUUACCCAGGUCCUCAGUCAGGAGGAAAAUAUCUGAAGAAAUAGCUAUCGUUUUGGCUUACAGGUGGAAAAUUCUGGAAAAAAGAAGAGAUAUCAACCGUUGGAGGGAAAAGAGGUUCAGGAGGUGAGCACCUGCAUGGGAUGGAUUGGAGCUCCUAAAGAUUCCAGAACUACGCCUUCGAGAAUUGAUUCAACUUGAUUCAUCGUGGGCGGACAGAUGAAUCAUAAUUUGCUGCAACGUAGGAAUAGUUUUAGUGAGCCUGCAGCCCAAGACGCUGCUGGGAGAUGGCAGCGUGUUGUGUUUCCAGCAGGGCUUGUUGGAUACGUGGGCACGGAUCGGCCCUGCGCCCCGCCUGAGUUAUGCUGUGUGCGUUGUGGCUCUGAGGCGAGUGACCACGGGGUGUCACUCACCAGUCUCCAUGAUCUUCCUGAGAGCAUCCCCUCCCCCUCCCUGGGGAGCAUCUACAUUUAGGCCAAACAUUAGGAAUUUAAUAUUUAAUGUUAAAAGAGAAACUGUUUAGAAAGUCUAGGAACCUCUCAUGUGCCUAGUGGCAAUUAUGAGAUCCCUGGGCCCCCCUUAAACAAAGAGCUUUGUUCUUUUAAAGCAAUUACCAGAAGUAAAAAAGCAGUAAUGCCAGUCAAACUUUUUAAAGGCACAUCUGCAGACAGAAGAUUUGAGUUUGGGCUAUCUGUGGGUAGCUGGAUAGCCAGCCGUGACCCCGGAAGAGCCUGUUGUCAGGAGUGUCUGUAAGCUCUGUGUCCUUCCUUUGAAAGGCCGUCUCUGGUUGCUGCAGAUGUUAGCACUUAGCUGACACUAUUACCUGGUUGGGAUGGAAGACAUUGCAUCAGUUACACAGUCUGUGGGAGAAUAACUGGGUCUAUAACAAGUAACCACUGUUACUUGUUUACCAGUUUGCCAGCAUCUUUAGUAACAAGUUAUAAUCAGAUUAGUCAAGUGAUUGAAUCAACUAAAAAUAGCUAAGCAUUAUGAAAUAAUUUUGCUUGUGAAUCACCCUUUGUUCAUUGGGAAAAAUGCCCAGGUCCUGGCGUUCACACUAGUGUCACCCGUCCCAGGCUGCCUUUUCAGCUUCACACCAGAUUCCUGCUGUGAGCCGUGCCCGCUGGAAACUCCACCCCUGCUCACCUUGACACCCCGCCCUUCAGCCUGGACACCGUGGCUGCAGGGGCCUUGCUGCAUGGAGGGUCUGCUGGCCGCUCUUCCACUGAUGUGAGCAAGUCCACCGUGGGAGAAAAGGGCUACAAGGGCGCAGGGCAGGUCGGCGGAAGGCAGCUGAUCCUCAUCUCCGGAGACUAUUUGCUCAUCUGACCUUCUCCCCCAGAAAUCUGCUUCCUGGCCUGGUCUUCUCCGGCAGGCUCUGGGCUCUCUGCGACAGGGGCCCGUCUAAGAGAGGUUCCAAUCCUUUGCAGGUAGAACAGGCUAGAAUCAUAGCCUUUGCCAAGAAUCCUUUUUGGAUAAGAGCAGGCAGUCUCUUUCUCUCUUUAUUUUUAUUGACAUGAUGAGAUUUAUGUAUGUGUGGUGGGGAGAGCUGUUUUAAAAACUAUUAAAAUUAUAGAAGUCCUCUGAAAAUUUAUUUUCAUCCGUCUGAAUACCUGAUUCACUUACCUUAGUUAAAAAGUGAGAGAAUACUCUACUUAUAUUUCUCUGAGUUGCUGUCUUCAGAUAACAUUAUGUUUAAAGAUCUGAUAAACAAAUGGCAAGCAAUAGGAUAUAUUGGCAUAUAUGAGGAAACCAUUUGGUAUAAACAUAAUUGGGCCUGACCUUAUUUUUCCAAAAGGGCCUGACGUGGCCGUUGAGCAUGCAUUGUGUAUCUGCUUUAAGCAUUUGCUAUGUCCCAAAGACAAGAACAAAUAAAGAUGCAAUUUCCCCCA
rnacentral:lncRNA from 1 species